UGACAACAUACGUAGUUUUGGAGAUAUCUUGUAAAAUGUGUACGAAAACAGGAAAAAAUUUACACUAAAAUAGGUCGCAUAUUUCAGAGCUAAUGUCACCCUCCUGCUUAUAGUAAUGGUAAGCACUUUAAAUUUCUCAAAACGCGCCGCUAAAAUAUCAAGGCGAUCAUAAAAAACGAUAGCGCGAUUUAAAUUUUGGCGCCUUUCUUGCAUCGAAUAUUUAGGUUAGAAUUGACCAGUUCAGAUCCUAGCUGUGUCUGACCUUGAAAUGUCACUGGAGAACCUAAAAAUAACCUCCAAAUAAAAACGUAAACAAAAUUUAUGAAAUUUAUGUGUUCUGUUCGGGUUGUUUGUAAAUGGAUAUCGGAAAGGAAGAAGAGGAACUUGACUUAUCAAUAGUGAAAGAAGAAACUGAGAUUCAGCAAAAUGCUGAUAAUUGCGUGGCUAUCAAAAUUAGCGAAUUUAAAGAGCCUCUAUCAAAGGUGCAAUGUUGUGGGCGAAAAUUCUUAAACAGGGAAUCUUAUGAAAUGCAUUUGAGUUCAUAUCAUAAGAUAAUUAGGAGUAUUACGUGCUGUAUAUGCUCACAAAAAUUUGACAAUGUGAAUAUAUUCAAGCAUAAGUGCAGCGUUAAAAUGCGUGUGUUAAAUCCAAUAACAGAGAUACUGCCACUACCACCAGUAGUACCACAGAAGAUAAUAGCAAACGUAACGAAGUCAAUUACAACCAUUAAGUCAUACAGGUUGUCAAAGAUAUUGAAAUGCAAGAAUUGUCCUAGAACUUAUGUUAAUCUUAAGUACUAUUAUAAGCAUAUAGAAAGUUGUUUAAGGUCUAAGGAAAAGAAAUCUGUUGAAGAAGAAUGUUAAAAAUAUAUACUGAAUUUUUCUUAA